CCCUCCCCGACUGGCUGACCUUAAAACCCAUUUUUAAGGUUUGAAAUCCCUCCUCGCCAGGGCGGUUGGCCGGGUGGUGGGGGGGGGGGUGUUGGGCACACGGCGGAGACAAAGCGCGGCCGGGCUGCGCGGAGACAAAGGGCUGCGCGGGGAGACGCGGCCCCGGUAUCCCCACCCCUCCCCCCCACGAUUGCAUCAGCUGCUGCCUACCUUCCCGAGGAGCCGCGGGGAUCCCCCGAGGAAUAAUCCACCCUCUCCGGCGGGAGAGCACCCCGACAGGAGAACCCCUCCUGGCAGGCAGGCCGAAUUCUUGCGGCGUUUUCCCUGAAACGGCCGCGGAAGAUCUGGCAUCAUCAUGUUACCCGAUUUCCUGUUUCAUCACGCAAGAAGCUAUAAAUGCUGCCAUUUGUGUGAGAAGUGAGAGCGCUUUCCACUGGGGCAAGACACGCUCUUCCAAUCCAGAGGGGGAUUUGAGGCACUGAUGGUUUGCCGUAGCUUGUUAUUUCCGUACUAAUCUCUAGAAAGCGUCGUAUGAGCUUUUCGGCUUGGAAAAAAAAAUUCUUUUUAAGAACAAACCUGAAGCGAGAUGGCAUUGCGGCUGGCAAUUUUGAGACCGCAGCCCUUGGUUUCACCCCACGCAAUGCAUGACUUGCACGGGAUGUCGCAAGGCACGGAGUGAAAGGAUGCUGGAGCGUGCCGGGGUUGGGAGCAGUUUGCCUGGCCCUCCGCGGAGCGGGGCCGGCUGCUGGGAAGCUCUCGUGGUAGCUCUGCCAGCAGCUGCUGGAGGUGUUUGCUCUGGAAGUUCCCCUACUGGGUCUUCUAAAUGUCAGGCCAAAAAGACGGAUGACACACACGAAGAACUGUGGUUUUCAAAUUACCAUCUUUGCGUGGACGAGUUGGAUUCCCAUUUUGGUGCUUGUACUGCAUUUCUGUGUUUUUUUUCCACUAGGGUAGCUCUUUGAAUGUGGAGCGCUGUGCAAACAGUAAUUUAAUUAAUACCCAUCGCACCCCACUAGCCUGAGAGCCGUAUCGUCCCAGUCAUGAGAGUGAAGCCAGAGGAAGAGCUAACUAACCAAGGUCGUUAAGCCAAGGGCUGCUCUUUCAACACUUCCUCACGUGAAUGAAUAAACCUCUCUGGGGCUCGCACCAGCACCCUGCACAGCCCCACAGACAUUUCAGAUGGACAAAGGAGGUGGGAUGGAUUCCAAGUCAGGGCCUGGACUCCUCAUCCAGCCCUACGUGCAAGGCACCGUGCCCGAAAGCAGAGAAGAAAGUAUUCACAAUUCACUCUUACUCAGUUAGACUUAUUUCUCUUAAACUGACAAUCACACCCCCCCCCCCACAUUACUAAAUAAAAAAGUGUAUUAUGUAGUGGAUGUGGUCAGGUGGCAUUGCUGUAGGGAAUAAGAAGAAACUCUACUUUGUUUCUUUAAAACAAAAGUUGUAUCAGGCUGACUAUCAGGUGAAUGGUCAUUGAUUCGAUGCAUUCUGUUACCACCAUUCCUUUUAUACCUGUAAAGGCAGGCCUUUUCUACCUGACAGAUAAUUUGAUUCUUACCUUGUCAUGCACAUUCUUAGAAUCAAGGUAAGUAUUUUUCAUAGAAUUUGGAAAAAAAUCUUUUUAACAUAUCUUAACAGAGCUCUACAAAAUCGAUAGCACUUCUCAGAAAUGAAAACUAUUUCACUUUGCACUUUUAGUCUUUCAAAUUUCUCCAUUCUCCCUCUCAAUAACUUUCUGAUUUUUUAGCACUGUUGGUUCUGUUUGCCUUGAUCUGCUGUGAAACCUUGAUGCUUGUGACCAGCUUCUUCUAGUUCUAGCUUUUAUGAUUUCUUGUAAGCUUUUUUUCAAUAGGUUUUCAUGGCAUUCACUCCUUAUUGACCUUAUUCACUCCUCCCGGGCCUUUCUCUUUAUCCUUUUCACUCAUAUUCUCAUUCCUAUAUCUGGUUUCAGAUAUACCGAAGAUUCAGGAAUUUGCUUUUAUAUUUCAGGCCCAUUAUUUUUCUUCCUCUUGUCCGUCUAGGACUGGCAGUUCUCUUCUUGGAUGCCUUUCAGUGCACUUUUAUCUAGUCAAAAUGGAUCCUCCUCUCUUUCCUCUGAAAUAGCCCUGAGCCUUUCUCUGUCUGCGAUAACACCAUUCCCAUCUUUCUUUUGUUCAGACCUGCAACUUCCAAAUCUUCUUUAGAUUAUAUUUUGGCUGCCUAAAACGCAUCAACAGCCAUGUUCAUUUUCAGAACUACACUCCGAAGUGCAAUGUUCUUCCAGAGUCUGGAAAAUUUCCUUCUGAACUGUCCUUCAAAGAUUUGUGCUUAUUGACUAACUUAAACUGUCUAAUGGAAACUGCAGGUAUGCAACAAAAAAUAUGCCUAUAUAAUGAAAGUGAACUUAAAUCAAAAGAUACCAGAUACUGCUUUGGUUGACUACAUUAUCACACGUGUGAGCACUUGGCAAGCUUCUCCACACACGAUUUCUGAAUGCUGUUUGAUUUCGGGUGCAUUUUAUUGAAAAUGGGGCUUGGUUGGCUUCUUUGCUGUCUUUUGCUUCCAAAUUGCAGUGAAGCCUACGAGAGAUUCGAAGGACAGUUCUUGCACCUGGCACAAAGCUGAUGACAGAGGGUCAUUAAAUUUGGAUGAUUACCCGUUCAAACCUUUUACCCUUGGGCAAAUAUAUGGCUACAGCCCAGGGGAAAGCAGUUGCUGGAGUUGAGGGUAGCAGUGCCUGGGGCGGGGGGGUUCACGGCUGACGUGACAAGCCUGACAGGAGGAGCUGGAGGUGCUUACAGAGUUCUCUCUAUUUUAGUACAUCCGUCAUUGGCACGUUUGGACUUACGUGUUAGUGCUUGUGUGAAAGAGAGGGGAAUGAAAGAGAACAGAUCAGAAGCAGAAAGCCAGCUGAAGGAGAAAAAUCCUGUGUUUUGCAGAGAAGCUGCUUGCUGCCAGAGAGCGACCUUGAACAUCUCUGAAGGCUCUGACUGGCCUUCAAGAACGGCCAAGAGUGAUGAGGAAGCACAGGAUGUCGGCGAUGGCCUUUUUUGCACCUCAGUGCUACAUCUACAUCUUGUGCUAGUUGAAAUAAAACGCACAUAGACUUUGGGGGCUUUUUUUGUUUGGUUUUGGUUUUUUGGAAUGAAAACUUUGUGUCCAUUUGCUGCAGAGAGCCCACAACUUAGGUUUGAUAAGGCAGCAUCUGAGCUAUGGGGCUGCUCACAGGAGGGGGCAGUACUGGUCCUCUUUUAGGAAUUAGGCAGUGAGAUCCUCUUCCCACCAAGGCUUCACAGAGACUGUGGGCUCAAAAAGUGUCGCAGAUGUGCUGCAAGGAGCAACAAAGUGCUAGUACCUACUUGGGCUGAGGGUGGUUCAAGUCCAAACAUACUGCGGGCCCUGCUGAGGUGGAUGAACUCUUCCGGGGUGGUACAGUGAGCAAUUGCACUGCCCAGUGCAACUUUCUUCUUGGAAAUAAAGUAAAAUUUUCAGCAAAUAUCUAUGGUUUCUCUAGUCUGCCAUGCCAGGCUUUGCUAUCAGACACAAAUAAAGGUUUCUUGGAAAUCUACUGCCGUGUUAAAAGCCUGCUGGUGCUAGCAGGGUCCCGACAUUGAUUCUGUGGCAUUAGCUGAGAAAGAUAUUUUGCCUAGCAGCUGAGCAAGGAAAAACAUCAUUGACUACGAUGCAUAAUGUACGAUCUGUACAUGACUGGUCUUGCACGAUACUUUGAAAAGAACUGCCCACACUUGUCACAGAUUUCGUGAACACUGAUAGCAUCAACUGUGUCUAAACAUGUGUUCAGCCGCCUCCAACUCUGCAUGUUGAGACAAUCAGGUUUGGAGGGCUGCAAAAUCUUGCAUGCAUGUCUGUGACUCUGUGAUCAUGAGAUGUUAUCAUUUGUUCAUUUCCUGGCCAAAGUGUGGUAUACAACUAGGAUGACUAAUCCUGGUUUAAUAGGAGGACUUGUCCUCUGCUCUUCAUCUUUAGAUUCAGGAAUUCAUGCAACGAACCAGGUAGCUGUGCUUUUUCUCCUUACCUUCUGAUCAUCUGCUCUAACUCUUUUCUUUGGUCAGAACAAGUGUUUUACUGGAAUACAAAGGUUUCAAGCUUCUUGUACGAGGCUAAGGAAAUAGCAGUGACUAAAACAAAGAUUUGCAAGUGUGAUAGAUGCCUGUAGUGAUAGUAAAAGCUUCAUUUAAACACACUUUAAAAGUAUGUGUAGCAAAAUUCUGUUUUGUUUAAUCGCUUUUAAGGUGUUGGUUCUUACCAUCAAUUUAUAGCGCUCUAGACCAAUUUAUAUGGUCUGAAUAGACCAGAAAACUUUGAUCUUUCUGAAAUGAGUAAAUUCAGACAUUGACGUAACCAUGAUGCCGAGUUGUGUUACAACGCAAAGAGGAGAUCCUCUCUCCUUUUCCCCAGAAAAGGAUAUUUUUUGCCAUUCCAUUUGUAUAGAGUAACUUUAAAGGCUUGCUCAGAAUUUGAGGGAUAGUACCUGCUAUAUUGGGUUGCCAGAAAUGGUCCUGGCAACUUGCAGUUCCUAGUCCCAGCAUAAGGCAUAGCUAUGGAAGAUGGGAUGUGUCUAGAAACAUGAAAUUAUUGAUAACUGUUGUGAAUUAAAUUAUACUAAAGACAAUUUCUUUAAUCCAGGACUGGCCUGCUAGUGUACAGCCCAUUAAUUGAAUUCUCCUCUGUUAAAAAAAGAUAGAUUAAAAGAUACAUAUAUAAAAGAAAAGAAUAUGAAAGUUUAAUUCAGAGUUUGGGUGCCAAAUACUUUAUAUCUGAAUCCUUAUCAUUAAUUAGAAGCAUUCAAAGUUGCUGAGUGUCUCUCACUGCUGCUUAAAUCCAUGGCAGUCAAGGGAACUCAGUAUCUCCAGAAAUCAGAGUGCUCAUUUACCUGACUAUAUAAAGAAAUUAGAUGCUAACCUGUAAGUAUCCAGGUUGCACAUGCUGACCUUAUUGUAAUCCAACAAUAAUGUAUCCUGGAGAAGUUAUGGGAUCGUGAAACACCAUUAAAUGAGUGAAUUCGAAAAAAAAGGAGUGAAUUCUUGUUUUUGACAACUCCCAUCUAGUAAGAUGACAUAAGCUUUUCAGGAGGGUGGUGAAACGAUGAACUCUAAAUCAGCACAGGAAACAACCAACCAGUAAAGAUUAGCUUUACACACAAGAAAUUCAUCCUCAAGAAGUAGAGGACUAGGUUAAAAUCCUUUAAGAACACCUUGAUGGCUAUUAUUUUUUAAAAGAAUAAACCAAAAUAAAGCUAUUGAUGUGCCCAAGGGCAUGUCGGGAAGUAUGGCUGAAAUACAGUAGGAAUAGUAAGCUUAUGUAAAAGCUGAGGUUGUUAACACGUCUGUAAGACCGGGCAGGUGCCUCAUGUGGUGGCUGGUACCCAUCCCAUUGUUCCUCUGGUAUUUACAUUAGCUUUUGCAAUUCUUCAAAAUGCAAACAAAUUCCGUUAUCAAUAGAGCUAAAUGAAAUUGGCGAAAGCAAAAUUUAAUCCAUAAUUUACAAGGCUUUGGGUAUCGUGUAUUCCGUGAAAGUCCUUCCCUAGACACCGUGACAGUGCUGUAGGGCAAAGCAGUGCUCUGUCCGUGCGUGUUCGGUGGUUGUUAAAUGUGCGUGCAUUUAUUAAUGUGUUUAUGAAGGAGUCAAGUUCUGUAGGAAAAACAUUAAACUGAUAAAAUUAAGCUAACUGGAACCUCAUGUUAUAAAUAUAGCAAAACUUCCUGAUCUGCUUGAGACAGGGAAGUCUCCAGCACUGCUGGUGUGGCUGCUUCCCCCGAGCCUCCCUUGCAGCACGGAGCUGGUCAAUGCCAGUCGCACAUCCCUGACAUGCUAUUGAGCUCAAGCUGCAAAUCAGGAAAAAAGGCAAAUAGCAGACAAAAAAUGUCAAGGUAUACAGCUCUACUAGAAGUUGUGCUUAAAAACCUUCUGAGGUACCUGUGCAGUAACCUCUUCUCUCUCUGGUUUUGGACUUCAUAGAGCAGCUGUCGUUACAGUAAUGAAGUGAUUAGAUCUGCUCUGUUGCCUAAUUACAGGACUAGAAAUAGCAUGCAUUCCUGCAAUCUAGUUAAGUACUCCAUAUCUGAAUCCUCUGAUUUCAAGGAUAGUCUUUGGGAAAUUAUCUUUAGAGCACAUUUUUUUUUUUUAAAGUGCACUUGAUUGAAGUGAGGAGUCUAUCAUAUUGUAGAAUUAUUGAUUAUGGUAAGUACUUUGAACUUACACAGUGUUUUUCAUCUCAGAAUCUCCUAGUAUUUUGCUACAAGGGACAAGUAUUAUUAGUCCCAUUGCAGAUUAAAAUCUUGGAGGAAAAAUGAGAGAACACGUUAUUUAUUUAGGAUUCCCGUCAAAUGGUGGAGCAAGACUAGCUAGUUCAAGACUAGGUACCCUUUCCUUUAAUGUCCUUGAGGGGAUCCUACAAGCAAAAGACCUUUUGUUGCAUUUCUUUAGGAUGGAAUAGUCUUCUAUGCAGGUCCUGGUGCUACAGAUUUUGGGAACAAAAUGAGACUGGUUGCAGCCUCCAGUUGGAUACAGCACCUGCAAGUUUUCUUUCCCAGAGCAGCUCCCCUCUCUUUGUACAAUAACCAGGAAGUUCUGUGUGGUCAUAUUAAUGAUAGGAGCACAGUAUUACAAGAGAAGAGACAUCUUAAAAGACUAUGUGUCUGCCUUAAUUAUUGGUAUAUGCCUCUACAGAGUAGGACUGCCUUCAUGCCAGCUCCUGACAUCUUUGGAGAUGGAAAGCUGAACCUGCUUCCUACCAGCACCUGUUUUAUUGUCUUCCAGCAGCUGUAUAUUUGCCUACCUAAAAUGCAUUGCAGAGCUAUGAGCUUCCAUCCCUCUCCUAUCUGGGUUUACAUCCCUAUAGUGUCCUAUCUGGGACGCUCGGCGUGACCAGAAGUUGAACAUCCCAGUGAACACCACCUGCCUUGUCCUACAGCCUCUUCUGCUAAACGGCGGUUGGCAGAAGAUGCUGUUCACUUAGCAAUGCAUACAACUAAUUGUGUACAUUCUUACAGCAAACAAGAUCAUGAUUAUCAGUGGAACAAACACAACUCAAACAUUGUUAGAGGCUCUUCACACCAGAAAAGGGAUUCGGUAGUUUUGAUUCCCACUGCUUUAUCUCAUCUACAAGUCCAUCCCGUUUUUCCAUCUGUUUCACAUUGCUUAAUCAGAAGAUGAAGAAGACAGGUAACAUUUUAACAAAGCUGGGUCAGAGGAAAAGUGCAAUAACAUUUCUAAGACCCAUUUAAAAGUCUAAAAGUUGGUUUAAAAGAAAUUAUCCUGAGAUAAGGGAUAGUAGAAAAUAUUCUUACAAGAUCAGAGCGCAACACAUGCUUUACCAGUAGACCUGGUGUAUAAAGCUCUGGGUAACCAGAAGGCAGAAGAUAUUUUACAAUAUGUAGUACAUAUAAAUUUACAUAUAUUACUAUUUUAUAGCUAAAAUUUACAGAUAUAUGUAUUGUAUAUUAUAUAUUAGCAGAUGUCGACUGUAUCUCUUACAAUAAAUAAAUGUAAAAAACCCCUGCAGAUGGGUUCAGAACUUGUAUUUGAUGCAUGAACUUGACUGUAGUUUGUUAGAGUGUUCUUAGUCCAAAAUGGCCAUUAGAAAAUGCUGUCGUCCUAAAGCCUAGCCUUGCAGCAAAUCAUAGCCUGAUCCUGCAAAUUUUGUGCACUCAAGUACUGAACUCGCAUUGGAAAUGUUGUUAUGGACCAGCGUACACAAAGCUCCCUGACGCAGUAGGUUUUUACUAUUACAAUCAUGGCCUAAUGCAGUCGUAAAAGGGAAGAGUAAGUGCAUUUUGUAAAUGUGUUCUGGAAUAUUCAUGUUCAUUGCAAAUGCUAUCUGGUUCAGGUUGUGGAUGUUUUUCUAAAAGAUUGUCAUCUAAAAAUGCAUUUUUUCAGAGUCGUGGUGCUGGUUUCGUAGAGUCCAUCACCCUGCUUCACUCCCCGUGUGCGGGGGGCUGUGGGAAGUCGCGUCUUUGGCAAUCUCAGGCACCGUCAGGGCUGACUGGAAGAUCGUUGAAGUCAAUGAAGACAGACAGGUAAUCAAUUGCCUGAAAAUGCUGCGACAACAGAGUUGAUGAGCUGUGUAAUGCGAAGAGGAUGGGAACGCAACCAGAGGCUGCCUUCUUCAGGCCUUUUGCAUGCAACUGUGCUGCAUUGGGACUUCUAAAAAUGGAGGGAUUUUUCCUCAUCAUUUUAAUCUCAUGUUUGGAAAAUUUCCAAAUGAAAAUUCAUGGUUUUUCCCCUGCCUUUUUCCUUACCUUUUUUCCCUUUAUUAAGGCUAGGUUGUAUCAUAGAUAACAUUAUAUUGUGUUACACCAUGGAAAGGGUGGAGCACCAAUGUCAGUAGUUAAGGACAGACAAAACUUCCUCUUUCCACUACCUUCAGGGCAUAACACUUUGCUAAUUAAAAUACCCCACGGCCAGUUCACCUGCAUGGCCCAGUGCACUGGGUCUCCAGAGCUGAUCCAGACCUUACCCCGCUAUGCCCGAUGGGACAGCAAGUGCAUGCUGCACCCUUCCUCAUCUUGGUGACGAUACGCAAAACCUAGGUGGUCCAUGUGGGGCUGUUUGAGUAUGGAUAUUUAUUUGCAUGCUCUC